rnacentral:rRNA from 1 species
CAGUAGCCGCGGUAAAACGUAGGGUGCAAGCGUUAUCCGGAAUUAUUGGGCGUAAGGAGCCCGUAGGCGGUUUGUCGCGUCUGCUGUGAAAACUGGAGGCUCAACCUCCAGCCUGCAGUGGGUACGGGCAGACUAGAGUGCGGUAGGGGAGAUUGGAAUUCCUGGUGUAGCGGUGGAAUGCGCAGAUAUCAGGAGGAACACCGAUGGCGAAGGCAGAUCUCUGGGCCGUAACUGACGCUGAGGAGCGAAAGCAUGGGGAGCGAACAGGAUUAGAUACCCCUGUAGUCCCUGUCUCUUAUAC